CACAGGCACACCGUGAAACAGAUAACGGAGAGAGCCAGUGGCUGCUGAUAGUUUCUGCUUCACUUAGUUUCCAGGCCAAGGAAAUUUUUAUGGAAUCCAAUUCAGGAAGUGAGCGUGGGGUCCAAAGUUCCACAAGCAGAGGCCGGGAAUGGGGUCAAGCUAAUGACCCAUUCCUUUCAUCUUAAAACUAGAUUAUUUAGGUGGGGGAGCCCCUAGAUUAAUUGAAAUAGAUUAUUUGAAAGAGUCUAUUGGAAGACCGCCCCCCACCCCGACUCAGGCACUACAGUUCCCCCCCUCCAGCCCCACAAACCAGUGGACCCCAGACACCGACGCACGCAAACCCCAGACACCGAGAGCUAGAGUGGUGGACAGGGAUGUGAGCUUGCAGCUUCCUGCAGUCUCUGUGCCUGCCUGCUGCCACAUUUCCCCGCCAAUGCUGGUGAUGGACUCUGGAACCGAAAGUCCAAGUGAACUUUACCUUUUAUGCUCUCAGAGUGCUCGCUACAGGAAAGAGCUGCCUCCUUCCUUCUCCCUCCUGCCCUCUUACAUCCUAAUCAACCAACAGUCUCAAGCCCUAACAGAAACCGCUGUCCCAACCACACGGGGUGGG